CCUUGUCUCCUUUAAAUAAUUAAGUGCAUUCUCAUCGCUUUUUCGUGACACCAGGCUGUUUUUGCCAAGCGGUGCAAUGUGCCCAUUCUGGUGUUGCUCUCCAGAACUUGUUGACUUGAUGCCACAGGCUGAAUUGCUGUAACAAUAUCGAUUAAUAUGCAUCAACAGUGGCAGCAGGUGAGGUCUGCUCAAACACAAAAACAUCAAGGACGUCUUGUGAAUUACACAGUCACCUCCUUGGGGUAUCUUCGAGUUUACUUGGGUUAACAUUGGGGGGAAAAAAAAAGAAAGAAAAGAAAUCAACACAAAAAAUGCACUGGGAAAAGUUGCACCCAAAACCCUGAGAAAACAUGAACAAAGCCAAAUGCAAAACAAUUCACAAGCAUUAUGAAUGUGGGUGCUGAGCAAACCAUAGUCAUGCUAGAUCUGCCCUUUGUAUCCCGCUGCCCCCCCAAAUAUAUAUCUUUUUUUUAUUCAGCACAAAUUUUAAAACAGAAAUAAGCCAUAGUUUAACAAAACCAGCCUGAUACUGACCCUGAAAACAAAACACUUCCUCACAGGCUUUCCCCAAAAUAUGACAGACUUUAAACAUAAACAUUAUUUUUGAGCAGACAUCAAGCCAAUAUUCUUCUUCACAAGAAUAUGUUCUAUGCAGCUUUCACGAGUCUAAAAACAGCAUUUCAUUUAAUAUUGAGCAUGUGGAAUAGGAAUUAAGCAGUAAGAUCCACACGUUUUUGGCCAUCUCGGGGGUGGCCAUUUUGUCACUUGCUGUCGACUGAAAAUGACAUCACACUUGCUCGGGGCUCAGAAAGUGACUACAGUGGAUUGGCAGAAUCGACUGCAAGACAGAACCACCUGGGCUUCCGUACAGAGUGCCAGAAGAAACGAAUGAUCCAGAGAGAGGAUGACAGACGAAAGUGAGCACGCCAGAUGCAGGUGUUGCUCGAACACACCGGAGGAAUGCAUGACUAAAUUAUUCAGGGAGUUGUCAAUGCAUCUGGGUCUCAUCUCGGACUUCCAGCCGGAAUUGCUUGUCCGGCAGCCAUCUCUGAAAAAAACUAUACCGAUAGGAAAAAGUGAAAGAAGAGGCCUAUAUAUUGGACCGUGUGCAUAUACUCUUGCCUCCCUGCAAGUUUUUCCACAUAAUCCAAAUGGCGUUCAUUGUCAUUACAUUUUCUGAACAAAAUAAUUCCCUCUCAUACAAAACGGAGUCCUUCGUAUGAGCCAAUGUUAGGGCUGCUAUCAAAAAUGGUGUCUGAUUUUUGUAUAGGGCUAUAAAAGGCAGAACCUGGAGUGGUGAGUGACAUGGGUGUCAAUAAAUUUGAUUGCAUCGCUCGCUGAAUGAAUCGGCUAACCCAUUAGCCAGUAUGCGUGCUGAGUGACUCAAUGGGAGUUGUGGCCAUGCCUGCGUACGAAUGUGCUUAUUAUAUUGGUGGUGUUCUUACAGUUUGUUCAAUAAAGUGAUUGAAAGUGGU